rnacentral:rRNA from 1 species
AGUGAACGCUGGCGGUAGGCCUAACACAUGCAAGUCGAACGGCAGCACAGUAAGAGCUUGCUCUUACGGGUGGCGAGUGGCGGACGGGUGAGGAAUACAUCGGAAUCUACUUUUUCGUGGGGGAUAAUGUAGGGAAACUUACGCUAAUACCGCAUACGACCUACGGGUGAAAGCAGGGGAUCUUCGGACCUUGCGCGAUUGAAUGAGCCGAUGUCGGAUUAGCUAGUUGGCGGGGUAAAGGCCCGCCAAGGCGACGAUCCGUAGCUGGUCUGAGAGGAUGAUCAGCCACACUGGAACUGAGACACGGUCCAGACUCCUACGGGAGGCGGCAGUGGGGAAUAUUGGACAAUGGGCGCAAGCCUGAUCCAGCCAUACCGCGUGGGUGAAGAAGGCCUUCGGGUUGUAAAGCCCUUUUGUUGGGAAAGAAAAGCAGCAGGUUAAUACCCCGCUGUUCUGACGGUACCCAAAGAAUAAGCACCGGCUAACUUCGUG